rnacentral:misc_RNA from 1 species
UUUUUUUUUUUGAAAAAAAAAAUGACAAGUGUAUUUAUUUAGAUUACCCAUUCAGGCACUAAGAGUAACAAGAGAGCUGUAGAUAUGAGAUUCAAGAAUACGAUUACAUAUCCAAAAACAUACAGGCCAUUCAAGAAACCAUGAAAACUUCUUCCCAUUAGUUUGCUAGCAUCUUCCAUUUUACCAACAGUGUCAAGAAAUUAACUCUCAACAGUGGAUCUUUUCUUGGUGGUGUAAGGGUAGUACUCCUUGCCAGUGUCAAUUCUGGUGGUUUGACCUCCAGCGUCAAUUGCUGCAGAAGUGACUGCCAAUGCUGUACCAGCAGAAAUAGCUGUUGAAAUGCUCCUUCCUUUGAAGCCCAGAAUGGAGGCCCCAGCAACAAAGCCACCAACAGCUCC